rnacentral:snRNA from 1 species
GUGCUCGCUUCAGCCGCACAUAUACUAAAAUCGGAAUGAUACAUAGAAGAUUAGCUCCUGUGCAAGGAUGACAUGCAAGUUCAUGAAGUGUUCCAUAUUUUU